rnacentral:tRNA from 1 species
AUUUAAAUAGCUUAAGUUUAAAGAGUAUUAUAUUGAAGAUAUAAAGGUAGUAUUUUUAUUUUUAAAUA